rnacentral:piRNA from 1 species
UCGACGUGUGCGUGCAAUGCGUCUGUGCAC